rnacentral:rRNA from 1 species
GAACGCUGGCGGCAGGCUUAACACAUGCAAGUCGAACGGGCGUAGCAAUACGUCAGUGGCAGACGGGUGAGUAACACGUGGGAACCUUCCUAGGGGUACGGAACAACUCAGGGAAACUUGAGCUAAUACCGUAUACGUCCGUAAGGAGAAAGAUUCAUCGCCCUUAGACGGGCCCGCGUCGGAUUAGGUAGUUGGUGGGGUAACGGCCUACCAAGGCGACGAUCCGUAGCUGAUCUGAGAGGAUGAUCAGCCACACUGGGACUGAGAUACGGCCCAGACUCCUACGGGAGGCAGCAGUGGGGAAUCUUGGACAAUGGGCGCAAGCCUGAUCCAGCCAUGCCGCGUGAGUGAAGAAGGCCUUAGGGUUGUAAAGCUCUUUUACCAGGGACGAUAAUGACGGUACCUGGAGAAUAAGCCCCGGCAAACUUCGUGCCAGCAGCCGCGGUAAUACGAAGGGGGCUAGCGUUGUUCGGAAUUACUGGGCGUAAAGCGCACGUAGGCGGGUCGUUAAGUCAGGGGUGAAAUCCCGGAGCUCAACUCCGGAACUGCCUUUGAUACUGGCGAUCUAGAGGUCGAGAGAGGUGAGUGGAAUUCCGAGUGUAGAGGUGAAAUUCGUAGAUAUUCGGAAGAACACCAGUGGCGAAGGCGGCUCCACUGGCUCGAUACUGACGCUGAGGUGCGAAA